AUGGCAAGGCAGCUUGAAGGUGGUCACGGCCAUCUCGCAGAGAUGGUGCAAGCUGUCAAGAAUCACGGUGCUGGGGCACUGCACUUCACCGCCGGGUGCAAGAUGGUGGAAGUGUGCGAGUACCUGUUGAGGAUGUCCAGGUGGACGUGGAUGUCGUUGACCAAGCAGGGUUGUUUUGCUGUCCCAAAGGCACACGGGAGUCUGCGGGAAAAAAACUGGCGACGUUUUCUCUUGGAUAUUCAGAAAAUGGAGACACUCGGCGACCAUCUCGCAGAGAUGGUGCAAGCUGCCAAGAAUCAGGGUGCUAGGGCACUGCACUUCACCGCCGGGUGCAAGAUGGUGGAAGUGUGUGAGUACCUGUUGAGGAUUUCCAGGUGGACGUGGAUGUCGUUGACCAAGCAGAUUUUGCCUAUUCUCUAA
rnacentral:rRNA from 1 species